rnacentral:rRNA from 1 species
AGAGUUUGAUCCUGGCUCAGAUCAACGCUGGCGGCGUGCCUAACACAUGCAAGUCGAACGAGAAAGGGGAGCAAUCCCUGAGUACAGUGGCGACCGGGUGAGUAACACGUGACUACCUACCCUUGAGUGGGGGAUAACCUCGGGAAACCGAGGCUAAUACCGCAUAAUAUCGAGAGAUCAAAGGAGCAAUCCGCUCUUGGAGGGGGUCGCGGCUGAUUAGCUAGUUGGUGAGGUAAUGGCUCACCAAGGCGAAGAUCGGUAUCCGGCCUGAGAGGGCGCACGGACACACUGGAACUGAAACACGGUCCAGACUCCUACGGGAGGCAGCAGUGGGGAAUUUUGCGCAAUGGGGGAAACCCUGACGCAGCAACGCCGCGUGGAGGAUGAAGCUCCUUGGAGUGUAAACUCCUUUCGACCGGGACGAUAAUGACGGUACCGGUGGAAGAAGCACCGGCUAACUCUGUGCCAGCAGCCGCGGUAAUACAGAGGGUGCGAGCGUUGUUCGGAAUUAUUGGGCGUAAAGGGCGCGUAGGCGGUGCGGUAAGUCACCUGUGAAAUCCCCGGGCUUAACUCGGGGCCUGCAGGCGAAGCUGCCGUGCUGGAGGGUGGGAGAGGUGCGUGGAAUUCCCGGUGUAGCGGUGAAACGCGUAGAUAUCGGGAGGAACACCUGUGGCGAAACGGCGCACUGGACCACUACUGNNGCUGAGGCCGAAAGCUAGGGGAGCAAACAGGAUUAGAUACCCNNGUAGUCC